rnacentral:rRNA from 1 species
UGAGGAAUCUUGCGCAAUGGGGGAAACCCUGACGCAGCAACGCCGCGUGAGUGAGGAAGGUCUUCGGGUCGUAAAGCUCUGUCAGGCGGGAAGAAAUGCAUGGAGGUGAAUAGCCGCCAUGCUUGACAGUACCGCCAGAGGAAGCACCGGCUAACUCCGUGCCAGCAGCCGCGGUAAUACGGGGGGUGCAAGCGUUGUUCGGAAUCAUUGGGCGUAAAGAGCGUGUAGGCGGCUUGGUAAGUCAGAUGUGAAAGCCCUGGGCUCAACCCGGGAAGUGCAUUUGAAACUGCCAGGCUCGAGUAGGGGAGAGGGAAGUGGAAUUCCUGGUGUAGAGGCGAAAUUCGUAGAUAUCAGGAGGAACACCGGUGGCGAAGGCGACUUCCUGACCCUAUACUGACACUGAGACGCGAGAGCGUGGGUGGCAAACAG